rnacentral:lncRNA from 1 species
AUGGAAGUACUGCAUUGGAUUGCAUUCAUUCUGUCCAUUUUAGCAACCAUUCACAACCAUAUAGGCCUUGUGGAAGCUUCUACUGACAUAGGUGUUUGCUAUGGAAUGUUAGGAGAUGAGCUCCCUGAUGCUACAGAAGUGGUUAAUCUGUACAAAAAAAUAUGGCAUUGGCAAAAUCAGACUUUAAUCCAAAUCCUGCAGCACUCCAAGCACUGAGAGGGAGCAAUAUCGACGUCACUCUAGGCAUCCUGAAUGAAGAAAGCCAAUUUGGCAGGAAGUCAAGGUGCUGUGAACACAUGGUUUGCAGCGAAUGUAGAGCCCUAUGUAAAUGACAUUGUCUUCAAUCACAUUGCUGUUGGCAAUGAGGUCAUUCCUGGUUCCUUGGUCGAGCACAUUUUGCCUGUCAUGAAGUAUCUACAGAACGUCAUAAAUGACAAAAACUUAGAUGGUAUUAAGGUGACCAUUGUUUUGUCAGGGACUGCAUUAGCAUCGUCAUAUCCGCCUUCAAAUGGCCCAUUCAAACCAGAGGCAAGCAAUGUUAUGAGUGCCAUUCUUGCAUUUUUAUCGGCACGAGGAUCACCCCUUAUGAUCAAUGUGUAUCCUUACUUUGCCUACUCAUCUGACCCUGCCAAUAUACACUUGAACUACGCUCAAUUCACUGCAACUAGUCCUGUGGUUCAGGACGGGCCCCUGAGCUAUUAUAACCUGUUUGAUGCCACGGUGGAUGCUUUUUUUCGCAGCAAUGGAGAAAGCAGGAGGGGGCGGUGUUGGUGUUGUGGUGUCUGAGAGUGGUUGGCCUUCUGAUGGUAAUGGAGAUUUCACCACUCCAGAACUUGCAAGGACAUAUAACAGGAAUUUCUUGAAGCACAUAACCUCAAAGGCAGGGACACCAAAAAGACCUGGUGCUUACAUUGAGGGGUACAUUUUUGCCAUGUUCACUGAGAAUCAGAAACCUGAAGGUGUGGAGCAGCAUUUUGGACUUUUUCAUCCUAACAUGCAACCUGUUUAUCCUGUGUUUUAA